AGCGAACGCUGGCGGCAGGCCUAACACAUGCAAGUCGAACGAACUCUUCGGAGUUAGUGGCGGACGGGUGAGUAACACGUGGGAACGUGCCUUUUGGUUCGGAAUAACUCAGGGAAACUUGUGCUAAUACCGAAUGUGCCCUUCGGGGGAAAGAUUUAUCGCCAUUAGAGCGGCCCGCGUCUGAUUAGCUAGUUGGUGAGGUAACGGCUCACCAAGGCGACGAUCAGUAGCUGGUCUGAGAGGAUGACCAGCCACACUGGGACUGAGACACGGCCCAGACUCCUACGGGAGGCAGCAGUGGGGAAUUUGGCGAAAGGGGCGAAAGCCUGACGCAGCCAGGCCGGGGGAAUGAUGAAGGUUUUAGGAUUGUAAAAUUCUUUCACCGGGGACGAUAAGGACGGAACCCGGAGAAGAAGCCCCGGCUAACUUCGU
rnacentral:rRNA from 1 species